GACGAACGCUGGCGGCGUGCUUAACACAUGCAGGUCGAACGGAAAGGCCUCUUUCGGGGGGUACUCGAGUGGCGAACGGGUGAGUAACACGUGAGUAACCUGCCCUUGACUUUGGGAUAACUUCAGGAAACUGGGGCUAAUACCGGAUAGGAGCUCCUGCUGCAUGGUGGGGGUUGGAAAGUUUCGGCGGUUGGGGAUGGACUCGCGGCUUAUCAGCUUGUUGGUGGGGUAGUGGCUUACCAAGGCUUUGACGGGUAGCCGGCCUGAGAGGGUGACCGGCCACAUUGGGACUGAGAUACGGCCCAGACUCCUACAGGAGGCAGCAGUGGGGAAUAUUGCACAAUGGGUGGAAGCCUGAUGCAGCAACGCCGUGUGCGGGAUGACGGCCUUCGGGUUGUAAACCGCUUUCGCUCAUGACGAAGCUUUGUGUGACGGUAGUGGGUAAAGAAGCACCGGCUAACUACGUG
rnacentral:rRNA from 1 species